rnacentral:lncRNA from 1 species
GGGUUCUCUAGAGGGACAGAACUAAUAGGAUAUAUGUAUAUAUGAAAGGGAUUUUAUUAAGGAGAAUUGACUUACAUGAUCACAAGGUGAAGUCCCACGAUAGGCCAUAUGCAAGCUGAGGAGCAAUGUAAGCUGUGGAUACUACCUGUCUUAGUCUAAUGGGGCUUCUAUAACAAAAUACCAUAAACUAGAUCACUUAUAAAAGCAGCUAUAAAUAUUAGUUUGGCCGGGUGCCCUGGAGUCAUAAGAAGUGAGGGGUAAUUUUAGGUCUUGACUACUCUGUCGGCAACAAAAGCCUUAAUUGGCAAUCAAUGUGUGUAAAGCCAUUUAGGAAAGAAUGAGUGGGCUGCACGUGGCCACAGGCUGCUCCUACAGUGGGAUCACAGGGAACUUGCUCGAGAAUCUGAUGUUAGAGGAUGUUUUACAGCUCCUGUUGCCAAAGCAGUAAGCAGCUUCGUGGGACAAAAAACAAUAGUGCAUGAUUAGACAGACAACUGCAACCCCUUGACACUUAAUUCCAGAAAUCAUUUAAGAAUCACUUGAAAAAGGAAUAUAUUAUUGUUCUCCUUCCAAUAACCAAGUGUCUUCUGAAAACCUUUCAUUGUCACUUUCUGGUAAUUGAACAAUGAGAACACAUGGACACAGGAAGGGGAACAUCACACACUGGGAACUGUUGUGGGGUGGGGGGAGGGGGGAGGGAUAGCAUUGGGAGAUAUACCUAAUGCUAAAUGACGAGUUAAUGGGUGCAGCACACCAACAUGGCACAUGUAUGCAUAUGUAACAACCCUGCACAUUGUGCACAUGUACCCUAAAACUUAAAAUAUAAUAAUAAUAAAAUUUAAAAAAA